AGAGAAAAUCAAUUUUCUGCCUUAUAAGUGCAUAACGUCCCCCUUUUGUCCAUCUUCUGCAAUGGGCAACACAUCGUAGUUGGUUGAAUAACGUUCCCCAUACAUUUAUGUCUACCCAGAACCUUAUUUGGAAAUAGCAAUGUAAUUUUUCUUUGCAGAUGUGAUUAAUUAUAAUUAGUCAAGGAUCUCAAGAUGAAAUCAUCGUAGAUUUAGGGCAGGUUCUAAAUCUGAUGACUAGUGUCCUUAUCAAAGAGGAGAGGACACAAAACAACACACAGGGAAGACCACUGAAGACGGAGGCAGAGAUUAGAGUGAUGCUGCCACAAGCCAAGGAACGCCAGGAGCGUCCAGGAGCAGGAAGAGGCAAGGAAGGGUCCAACCCUGGAGCCUUCAGCGGAAGCAUGGCCCUGCUGACACCUUGACUUUGGACUUUUGGCCUCCAAAACUCAGUCCAUUACAUCUUCCUCGAAGCGAAGUGACCUGGAAUUGUUCGAGUGUGAUCCUCCCUAAAGGCAGAGGGAUGGAAUGAAUAAUUUAUUAAGAAAACAAUUCCGUUUUCCCUGAAGUGGUAAGACCUCUACCUGGGAAGAUCUGGGGGUGAAAAAUCUGCUCCGGCUUGGACUGCUGACUUCUAAAUCAACUUCUCCAGCUCUGACACCUAAGCCAGACCUGCUCCCACUUUCCGCUCUGACCAUCUUCAGUCCGUUUCCAGGCCUGUCUGCUAAAAAUUAUGGAAAAAUAUGGCCCCGGAUUCCACUGUGUUCUGCCAGAUCAUCAACUGUCUGAGGAGGAUUUGUCACCUUCUAACAUACUGCUGUGCUCUGAAUGCUAUGACCUGAAUUCAUAUAUGGAAACCCAACACUGAAGGCAGGGUGUUAAGAGGUAGUUCGGAAGUGAUUAGGUGUUAUGAGAGGGGAGUCCUCAUGAAUGGGAUUAGCAUCCUUAUAAAAGAGGCCUGAGGGGGCUUGGUUGCCCCUUCCGCCAUGCAAGGAUGCAGCGAGAAGUCAGCAACUGCAACUCAGAAACUGCCCUCACCAGAACCUGGCCAUGCUGGCACCCUGAUAUUGGACUUCCCAGGCCCCAGAACUGUGACAAAUAAAUAUCUAUUGUCUAUAUGCCACCAAGUCUAUGGUAUUUUCUUAUAGCAGCCCAA